rnacentral:rRNA from 1 species
UACGGAGGGAGCAAGCGUUAUCCGGAUUCACUGGGCUUAAAGGGCGUGUAGGCGGGCUGUUAAGUCAGUGGUGAAAUCUCCGGGCUCAACCCGGAAACUGCCAUUGAUACUAUCAGUCUUGAAUUCUGUUGAGGUGGGCGGAAUAUGUCAUGUAGCGGUGAAAUGCAUAGAUAUGACAUAGAACACCAAUUGCGAAGGCAGCUCACUAAGCAGCGAUUGACGCUGAGGCACGAAAGCGUGGGGAGCAAACAGG